rnacentral:rRNA from 1 species
GAUGAACGCUGGCGGCGUGCUUAACACAUGCAAGUCGAACGAAGAUGCCGGAGUGCUUGCACUUUGGCAGACUGAGUGGCGGACGGGUGAGUAACGCGUGGGUAACCUGCCUUAUACAGGGGGAUAACAGUUGGAAACGACUGCUAAUACCGCAUAAGCGCACGGUAUCGCAUGAUACAGUGUGAAAAACUCCGGUGGUAUAAGAUGGACCCGCGUCUGAUUAGCUAGUUGGUGAGGUAACGGCCCACCAAGGCGACGAUCAGUAGCCGGCCUGAGAGGGUGAACGGCCACAUUGGGACUGAGACACGGCCCAAACUCCUACGGGAGGCAGCAGUGGGGAAUAUUGCACAAUGGGGGAAACCCUGAUGCAGCGACGCCGCGUGAGUGAUGAAGUAUUUCGGUAUGUAAAACUCUAUCAGCAGGGAAGAUAAUGACGGUACCUGACUAAGAAGCACCGGCUAAAUACGUGCCAGCAG